rnacentral:sRNA from 1 species
UGAGCCGUAUGACGGGAAACUGUCACGUACGGUUCUUAGGGGAGGGGCUGGCAGCAA